AACUCACUCUGUAGACCAGGCUGGCCUCGAACUCAGAAAUCCGCCUGCCUCUGCCUCCCAGAGUGCUGGGAUUAUAGGCAUGCGCCGCCACUGCCCGGCUCAUAUGUGUGUUUAUGUACAUAUGUAUGUAUGUAUGUGGGAUGCAUGUGGUAUGUGUGUGUAUGACAACUUUCAGGAGUCAGUCAAUGCUCCUUCCAGCGUGAGGUCGACAGAAGGAGCAGGAGGAGAUUGGAAGCAGGGGAGAGUUGGGAGAAUCCUCAGAGCCUGGACUAUCUUCCACGUAAGAGUCUAGUUGAAUUCUUGGAAUUUCCUUCAGACAGGGUGUUGAGAGCAGGCAGUCCCUACCCUAAGUCCCUUCAUAUUGUAUAUGGCAAUAUUUUCGAGGCCAUGCCUAGCCCUGAGAGACACUAUUUUACAAGCAGCUUUUGGCUUCAUUUUGAGUACAAAUGCUGCUGUCCAUGAGAUAUAGGCAGAUACAUGACUUAUUCCUAAACAUGGGAAGGGUGUCGCCCUUUACAUUUAUCAAAGUAAACUGGGACCACGUGAGCACAGGAGCAUGGUCAGAUCAGGAAACUGAGGUCUGAGAACUUACAGCACACACCAGACAGAGGAAAUGCUAUAACACUGUUACCUGGACCCCGUGAAGAGUCAGACCCCUAGAAGUGCCAUGGCUCUAGUCCCACUGACCUGUCUGUCCACCUGACCACCUGGGUUUUGUGUCAGUAGACUGACAGAAUUUCUGACUGUUCAGGGGCUUCAGUUUGGCUGACUCCCUGAUGUUGAACUGCUGUCUUUCCAUCUGUUUGUCCACCUGUACCUGCUGUCUAUCUGUCCAUCCUUCUGGACUAGCCCUGAUCCUCACCCUGAUACAAGACUUAACUGAGGCGCAACUCUGCUCUGCCCAGCACCUCGCUCAGUGGUGGCGGCAGUCAGUGGUUUCUCCUGCGGCUCUUCAGCCUGCUGCAUUACUAUCUCACCUCUCCACCCCCACCCAACUCUCUUUGUGUUCCUAUCAGCUUCUAUCUCUUAGGCCACUUUGAAACUACUUCAGAGUUUUAACUUCCAAGAGUCUCAACUAGAUUUAAAUGGAGGACACCUCAUGCUCUGAAGUCCAACUCCUUGCCUCCUUCUUGGCUUCUGACUUAAAGGGAGAGGACCCAGGCCUGCUGGGACAUCUUUAACUUUAGUGGCCAUUCGGCAGCUUUCAACUAUAUCCAUAUACAUAGACAGAUUUACUAUGCGAUCUGUAAUGUGUGACUUGAAUUAAUAUUAGUAAUUAAGAUGGGAAUGAAAGAAUCUGUGUUUUCCUCAGCCAAGGCUAGGGAGGAGAGUGGAACCAGCUGAUGAAUUGCCCUUAGUGAAACUUCUGCAUCUGAGAAUUUGUUAUUCAAUAACAUCAGACACUGUAGAAAGGCUUGAACAUGGCCCUCUAUGUUUCUGACAGCGUGCAUGCGCAUGCGCAUGCGCAGGACACAAAGAAAGACUAGACUCCAAAGAAAUGCAGAUCACAAGCGACUGGAGGCACUGAGGCAACCGUCCCAGCUCCCAGGAACCCAAGAAAUUUCCUAGUUCCUCUUCCUGCUUCCAUCCCAUAUGGAUCAUGUUUAUAAACUUGAUCGAGUACUGACGAAUACUCAUCUCUCAUGAUUUUCACGAUCAAGACAAAGAACACUGCAGAUAUGAGGGCAAGAACAGCUUGCUGACGCAGCUCACACUACUGUUAACUCAUAGGCGUGGUAACGUGGUUGUUCUUUUUAAAAUACAUUUCCUGCUAAUCACCACAGUGUUUGCAUAUAUUUAUGGGUACAGUGUGACAUUUCAAUGCACGGGCACCUGGCACAGCUCUCUGUAGGAGGAAUAUGCUGAGGUCUAUCUCUUUAGUGUGGUUUUCUCUCAGUUUUCCUGCAGGUGGAAAGUGCUGGUUGUGUGUGGUUGUGUGUGAGAGGGGAAAGGACAGUAUAGGAACUUGAGUAUCAAUAAUUAACAAUAAGAACCUGCUGGGAGGUGGUGGCACAUGCCUUUAACCCCAGCACUUGGGAGGCAGAGGCAGGCAGAUUUCUGAGUUCGAGGCCAGCCUGGUCUACAGAGUGAGUUCCAGGACAUCCAGGGCUACACAGAGAAACCCUCUCUUUAAAAAACAAAGCAAAACAAAAAAAAGAAAGAAAGAAAAAACAAUAAAAACCCACAUACAGAAGUACAAAGGAGCUAAUCAACCAGACCUCAGAUCACUGACCCACGGUGGGGGCCGUGAAGUGUCAUGCCGUAGAUUCCAGAUGUGUGCCAAAAUGUGGCAAGAUCUGGUGCUGGACAUUAGUGUCCCUGGGAGCUGUGACAUGGAGCUCACACAGACAGGUAUUUCCAUCCUAUUGGCUGCGAAGUGCCUCCUUGUUUAUCAUAACAUUUUCCCACAGGAAAACGGGAAAGAAUCAAACUGUCCAGCGAUAGGCACUAAGGAAAACGUGGUGUGGCCGAUGAAAUAUUGUAAGGCCACUAUUUUCUGAGAGGGUAACUGGAGGCUUUGGCCAGCUCUCCAUGACCUCCUGCUCACAUGUGCUUGCUUGCAGUUUUCCCUAAACAGGAAAAAGCAGGCUGUGAAGAUCCCAGAAGGGACGCUUGACUGGCAGCUCAGCCCAGGGGUGACCGGCCGACGAAGGGGCUCAUCCCCACUCCACUGCACACUGGCCAGCCCUCUCCUCCGUGCCUUCCCCGUGUUGGUCAUGAUCUGGUGGAAGGAGGAAACAGGUUUGAGACCCUGGGUCCCUAAGAGCCCACCCGGAAGCAGAGAGAACUGAAGGAGGGUCACACGGAGCAGUACAGGACUCAGAAAGCCAUGGGAAGAAGUCAAGAGAACAGUAGCUGCUCUAAGCUUUGAAGAGGACUAGAUUUUUGAAGGUUCAUGUGUGACCAAGUCACAGUUAAUCCCUGUGCUGGAUGUUCUGCCUUGCCUGUGGGAGCCCUGCCCACGGGAGCCCUGCCCACGGGAGCCCUGCCCACCGGCCUCUUCUGUCUUCCUGGUCCCUGGCUUCUGAAGAGGGUCCCGCAAAUGCUCUGAAGAAUUGUGUUUUAUCAUGCAGCCCAGACAGAGAAGCCAGCAUGCUGCCUGAGGCCCAGCGCUACCUCAGGACUGCAGCCAGCAUCUGGGAGCCCCUCCUGACCUCUAACUAGCACCACUGCAGCCAACAGUAGGAGCGGACAGCCCCUCCUCCCCCCGCUCCUCUGGUACAUGAUACAUUCUGGAGACGAUAGUGAGUACUGCUUGGCAGACCUCCCCAAUGGGAGAGAGGCUAGUUCUCCUCUAGUCUCCUCCGGUCGCCAACUGCUCGCUCUUCCUUCUUGCUCCCAACUCUCUUUUCCCCAAAGCAGCCAGAGUGUAAAUCUGAGUUGAUAUGUUUUAUUUACUUAUUUAUAUUUUAUUAAAAUAGUUUUGAGAUAGCAUCUCAUACACCAUAAGCAGGCCUGAAACUGAAGAUGACUUUGAACUUCAGAUCUUCCUGCUUCCGCCUCCUUUGUACUGGGAUAACAAAUAUGUGGUUGCUGAGAACAGAACCCAGGGCCUCAUAUAUGCUAGGUAGGUACACGACCAAAUAAGCACCUUCCGGCCCCUGUCCAAAUACACACCACCGAGGCUGUCUCCUGCCCUCCCGCCCUCCCUCAACUGUAGUUUCCCAGCACUUAUGAACCUUGAAACCCAUGUCCCUGCCACGACCCAAAGAGUUCCAUGAGGUGGCCCCUGGCUGUCCCUCAACCUCAGGUGCUACUGCGGUACACUGCCAUGCAGUCCUUGGGAGGUUCUCCACAUGGGGGAAGAGAUGAGAACAGGUUGCCAUGGAGACCAGCUCCUGAUGAUGGCAUGAGGACCCAGCUGGGGGUGGGAGUGGGCACAGGCAGGUGCUUUCCACUUCCGCUUGCCACUUGAUCACACUGCUUUUCCCUUCCUGAGCCUCUGGCUUCACUUGUUCCUUGUUUGAGGAAGCUGGCUCAAGGACUCCUCUCCAGCUCACCUAUUUGGAGACCUUAGCAGCCACACAGCUGGCUCUGUCAACCAUUACUUUCAAAGCGCCAACAGCUUGUUGGAAAGAUACUCUCAUGUUUUGCCAGCCAGCACAGGACUUCAGUUUAGAUUGGUUCAUAUCCCUGGAAAUCGCCCCUCCCUUCUGAGAGCUUACACGUUAGCAUCUUAUCUGCCCAUGCAUGGCUUUCUGGCACCCUGGGACACCGGCGGCCCGGCACUACCAUCACUUGGUGGGUAAUGCAGUGGAUUCCUCCUAACGGGGGCUCAUUCCUCCUUGAUUAUUCACCUAUUUAUAUUUGGAGCUGACAGUGAAGCCUAGGGUCUCAUGUGUUUUAAAAGCAUGCUCCAUGCCCCCAGCCUGAUUCCUUCCUAUUGAGCUGGCAGGUCACUGGCCAGUGGCUCCUGGAGCUGGCUAAGCAUCAGAGCUACCAAGGAUCUCUCAGAGGGCAGCUUCGAGCCCUGUGGUAGACAAUGGCACCAUUGGCCACUCAUCUGUCUCCAAGACGCUGCAUUCUUCAGGCUCUCUGCAGUCCACUCUGCUUUUUGAUUUCUAUCCUUCUCCCAUGCCCAACAUGCAGGAGAACCCUGGUUCUCAUCAGCCUACUCUCUCCCUGUUCACGCAAUGUCAGCCACUACUUCUGUGUUGAAAGCUUCUAAACUGAUGUAACACAUGGAAAUGAACAGAUUCAGCUGGUGACGAGACUGUCACCACGGAUGACACUGAAGACUUUGCAGAGGCUCCUGGCAGGGCCAUUUGUAACUAUUUCUCUCAGUUCCGCAUCAGCAGGUCUAUCCAUCUUUGACAGGCCUCCAAGGCACUUCAGGGCUAACAAGGAGCUUUUCAUAAUCCUUGUGUCACUGAAGGCAUUAAAUUAUGCCUGUUCAUCUGCCCCUCCUGCUCAGGACACCUCUGACAUGUGUACUUACCCCCAAGUACUCUGUGGUUAGAAGCUUCUCUCCUGAGAGUU